rnacentral:tRNA from 1 species
GGAGAAGUACCCAAGAGGUUAUAAGGGGAUGCACUCGAAAUGCGUUAGGGGCUUUUAGAGCUCGCGUGGGUUCGAAUCCCACCUUCUCCGCCA